GAUGAAGAACGUAGCGAAAUGCGAUAAGUAAUGUGAAUUGCAGAAUUCAGUGAAUCAUCGAAUCUUUGAACGCACAUUGCGCCCAUUAGUAUUCUAGUGGGCAUGCCUGUUCGAGCGUCAUUAAGUCCACUUAAGCCCUGCUUAGUGUUGGGAGACUGCUCCAGCGGUGCUACCCUGUAGCUACCCUGCAGCUCCUCAAAGACAGCGGCGGAGUUGUGGUAUCCUCUGAGCUUAGUAACUUGUUCUAGCUUUCGAGUACACCACAUCCCCUGCCGUAAAACCCUUAAUUUUUAAUGGUUGACCUCGGAUCAGGUAGGAAUACCCGCUGAACUUAAGCAUAUCAAUAAGCGGAGGA
rnacentral:misc_RNA from 1 species